GGGAGAAGUUUAUUAAAAUAAACUCUCCCCCCAAACCCAUCGUCUUCCACAAAAACAAAAGCACCAAACGACCCUUACGUACAACACAAAAACAGCAAACCAAACGAUCCUUUGUACGGAUUUCCUUCAAUUUCCAGCUGUUCCAAUGGUUUUUGGUUAAAUUUCUUAAGAAUUUUUACUCUUCCAGCUGUUUUGUGUACGAUUGAGGCAAGAAUAUUCAAGGCCUUUGGCAUUUUUGCCCUUUUUCUCAAACGGUAAACUCCCAUUUCAUUUGGUAUUGUACGAAUCUAACCAAUUUCUAGCUGUUUGGUCCUCUGAUUUUGAAAUUCAAACGAAUUUGGGAAAAGAGGGGGGAAUCCCACAUCGGUUGGAGCACAAUUUUGUGCAUUUCUUGGGUUCUAUAAAUAGAAACCCUUCCUCUCAUUUAAAAAAAAUGAACAAUGGUGUUGAGACCUAAAUUAUGGUUUCCACCAUAGUAAUGGGUUUUUAACCCUAAGAGUUGAGAACACUCAAAUUUUGAGGAAGUUCUCACUCUAGUAUAAUUUUUUGAAAUCACUUCCGUUCGUUGGAUUCGAUUAAGGGGAAAGAAAUCUUCUACACUUCUGAAGCCUUCUAAAGGAAGCUGAGACUGGAUGAGUUGUGCUUACUGGCUUGCUGCACUCAGAGCUAAGUUUACCCUACAUCCUUUGAGCCAUUCUUGCUUUUAUGUGUUGUCUCUAUCACUCCGUAAACUACCAUGUCACUAUAGUGUUAUUUUUAAGUUGACUGCUACUGCUGUGCUGCCUACUUGCUUGGCUACUAUGCUUGUUGUUUGGAACCACUGUUAUGCUCAUGAGGAUCUCCUAUGCUGCAGUUUUAUUUCCAUCACUGUGGCUAUCCUUUGUUCAUUGUUUGCUGCUGCAAUAUAAUGUUGAUACUACACUUAGGGAACUACUGAGUUUUAAAAGAAACAAAUGCUACACUUGAUUAGAGUGUAGUGCUAAGCUCAGUUGAAGCAAUUGCUUCCUUGCUGCUAUUUAUUACUACUACUUUGAUGUUACCUACAACUGAGUUCUGUGUUUAGUAUGAGUUGAUGUUCUCAACACAACUGCUAGUGUUAUGAGGCUCAAGAUGAUGUACUUUUGGCUGCUAUGCUUAGUUGGUGGCUGUGGCAUUUUGAACUAAGUUUUGGUUAGUUUUGAGGCCAAAUAUUGUCACUCUCUAAAGGCAUGCUGCUGUUGAGUUUUGCCACCUGCUACUGUGUUUGAAACCUGCUUCUGCUAUAAUUAGCUACUGGUUCAAAGCGUUAUACUCUUGGCUGCAAUUUUUUGUUAUUCACUGCUGCAUUGUUGGUUGUUCACUGCUAUUGUUUUGAGCCCAACAACUGCUGCAUUCUGAGGAUGAAAUAAGUAACUUUGUUGAGGCAAUUUGAGGCAAAUAAACUGCUGCACUUCAAGAUACUAUACUUGGCAAAAUACUAAUUAUUCUCAUUUCUAAUCUUGCGAGGUACAAAUAAACAAGUUCGGGAAGUACUACAAGGGCGAAUACUACACAAUUGGAGCAUACGCAUGGAAUCUAAACAAACGGAAGGACAAAAGGAGAAGUAUCAAAAGAAGAGGCAAAGACUUGGGCAUUUGGAGCUUCCAGGCGUAGAAUAAAGGAAGAACGAAAUUACAACUGAAGGUCCAAGAAGGCGAGGAGAUAGGCUUAUCCAAUUAACCUCUCUCCACCUUCAUUCUCUCCCUCCCUUUAGUUAUUUUGAAAAUAUUCUGUUUACUUGUUUUAUUUAAGUAUCGUUGGAACCCUUAUAGAUUAGGACUUAAGAUUAAUUCUAAAUUUAGAGUUGCCAAAACAGAUUUUUUAAAGCCUUGUAUAAAACAGAUAUGAAAUACGAAUUAUUUUUAAUGAAAAUUUGUUUAUUCAUAA